rnacentral:rRNA from 1 species
GAUGAACGCUGGCGGCGUGCCUAAUACAUGCAAGUCGUGCGAGAUCUUCGGAUCUAGCGGCGAACGGGUGAGUAACACGUGGGCAACCUGCCCCUAAGACUGGGAUAACUCCGAGAAAUCGGAGCUAAUACCGGAUAACCUUUUUCCUCGCAUGAGGAAAAAGUAAAAGGCUUCGGCCACUUAGGGAUGGGCCCGCGGCGCAUUAGCUAGUUGGUGAGGUAACGGCUCACCAAGGCGACGAUGCGUAGCCGACCUGAGAGGGUGAUCGGCCACACUGGGACUGAGACACGGCCCAGACUCCUACGGGAGGCAGCAGUAGGGAAUUUUCCGCAAUGGGCGAAAGCCUGACGGAGCAACGCCGCGUGAGUGAAGACGGCCUUCGGGUUGUAAAACUCUGUUCUUGGGGAAGAAGAAAGUGACGGUACCCAAGGAGAAAGCCCCGGCUAACUAC